UACGUAGGGGGCAAGCGUUGUCCGGAAUCAUUGGGCGUAAAGAGCGUGUAGGCGGCUCGGUAAGUCCGCUGUGAAAGUCCAGGGCUCAACCCUGGAAUGCCGGUGGAAACUGUCGAGCUAGAGUCCGGAAGAGGCGAGUGGAAUUCCUGGUGUAGCGGUGAAAUGCGUAGAUAUCGGGAGGAACACCAGUGGCGAAGGCGAUCACCUGGGGUUGUUCUGAUGCUGAGGAGCGAAAGCUAGGGGAGCAAACGGG
rnacentral:rRNA from 1 species